rnacentral:lncRNA from 1 species
UAGCGGAUGUAUGUAGGCCUUUCUUUAAUUUAUUUGUGAUCUUUCUUAAUAGGACAGCAGUCGACUGUUACCAGGUUGGCGUAAUGAAGCCAGCUGGACCAAAAAAAAUCCGCAAGUAGAAAAUCCACAAAACCAAUAUGCAAAUCCCGAUGAAUUUGUAUAUCCGAUUGACGAACGUCCGAUUGGACAAAACUGGCAACAGCAUAUGUAUACGAAUCGUUAUUUUGACCGAGAGGGAGAUGCUAUGAAAAAGGCUUUUCUGGCUCUUCUACAACAAGACUACAGAUAGUGACAAACGAUCAAUGUAUUCUGAGGACACAACCGUUACCACUUCUCCGUUUUUACCUUUUUGAAUAUACAUUAGUGGAGAAAUAAUUUUCUAGUAUAUUCUUCACUUUUGGGAUAAUUUUGUGAAUAUCUUUACGACUAUUAACAUAAUUAUUUGUCGGCCAUCAAAUGAAAUUUUGCUUGUCGAUAAAGCGUCAUCAAAUGAGAUUACUUGGUGAUAACUCGUCAUGAAUAAUCUUUGAUCACACAUUGUAUUCCUUUGAUCAUCACAUUUGCUAAUUCAAAUUGCACCUUGAUCACUGGUUGACGACGCGUUAUAAACACUAAGUUGUUUUAUCGUUUAUCGAUUAUGUAUCAUUGAGAGAAACACGCAUCCUAUAAUACUUCACGUUGUCAUGUACGAAAGAAAAAAAUGAUGAUGAAUAUUUAAAUAAAUUUGGUUCUCCCGAGUUGUCGAUAAUUUCUGACAUAUUUAUACUCCAACAAUUUACUAUUUCAAUGAAUAUUUAAUGUAAUUUCAAAUUCAUUGUUAUUUCAGUAUAUGUUAUUAGGAAUAACUUUAGUGGCAGUCCCAAGAAUACGAUUUUUCUGAGAGAUCGUUUUGAACAGGAUUUCUUAGAAUAAAGCACAGAGAGUGAGAGGUGCUAACUGGGGCAUAAGUUGAUAAGAAGGAAGUUCCGAGGCACUCCCGACUUGUCAUUAUCGAUCCACUCUUCCGCAUUCUGAGAGGUUGGCUAACGGCUAAACUUUCUACAAAUUUCUUUAAUUUUUCCGUGUGAUAGUAGGCCUAGCCUAGGUAGAAUCGUGCAAAUUUGCAAUCUCUAUUUUGCUAAUCCAUAGUAGACUGGCGCUACAAGGUACUUCCUGCCGUUUUUAACCGACGAAAGAGUGUAUCCUCUCUUAUAUCAUUACUUUACUGCUCAAGGGUGUUUAAAAUGUAUAUUAGAAAGAGGUUAGGCCUAUAUAAGUGGCUAAUUAAACAUAUUUGUGAAUAAUUAAGCCUAAUAUUUCAGUCAUGUACGUCUACAUGUAAACGUUUUUAUUUUAUUUUAUUUUGAAUUUAUGGCAUUGAAAUAACAUAACCGGUAGUGGUAAAGCAGGGGAACCUUGUAGCCGUUUCCCCUCUCUGGAUCCGCUCAUGAGAAUAAUUAUAAUAAAUAAAUGUAGUAUUUUAUCGAUGUAUAUAUAAAAAUUCACAUGAUAGCAUCCCAUUCGGAUUUUAGCGCUAAAUACCUAUUGCUGUAUCAUACACGCUUACCCCUAUCGGUAUUUCAUUAUAUAUAGUUUUUAGUAGCUACAAUAUACAUAGGCCUAUUCUAAUUAUCCAGGACAAGACAAUUUAUUGUUUUCGAAAAUACAUUUUAAUUCGAUAGGUCUACAAAAAUACCCGAAGGAAAGGGAGAUAAAACAUUUUAAAAUUAAUAAAAAGUGUGAAGAUAAUCUA